UGCUUCUUUGUGCAAUUAUAACCUUUGCUUGCUCUUCAAGAGUAAAGUUCUUCCAUGUGUAGCUUGAAUCAAUGUACUCUUUAUACAACUCCAAGACCUCAUUGUGGCUAACACAACCAGGGUUAGUGAAGUUGUAGAUACCAGUUAGGUUUCUUUUUGCCAUUUCAAUGGAGAUUGGGAGGAGUUCAUCAAGAAUGGUCAUGGAGUUUGGAAUGUCUACAACUUUUUCAUAUCGACUAAUUUUUGUGAUGAAGUUUCGGGGGUUUGUAAGAUCGGAUGAAAUUGGCAUUCUUACACGCAAUGUGCAUACAUUUUCAUAGUUUUUGAGCAAUUCCUCUACCUGUGGAUCAAACAAAUUAGUUUUCAUUGGUAUAAAUUAUAAUUGGGUAGAUUUUUAAAAAGUACAAGUGACUUAAUAUAAGAAUUUGGAUAAGUGGCAACAUGCAUGAAGUGUUUUUCAUAAGAUUUUUGAAGUGCAAUGUUGUAACAAAAAGAAAUGAAAGUAGGAUGUUAAAAUACACAACAAAAUGAAAGUGUGUACUUGUUCAUGAUCUUAGGUAUCCAAACAUAUUUUUAUUUUGUCUAAUAUCAAUAAAAUUGAAAUAAAUAUGGCAGAUGGAAGUAGAUUAAACUAAAAAAGUUUUCACUUUUUGACAAAAUGCAAACCAAGAUCUUCGAUCUACCACGUUUUAUGAACAAAUUCACACAAAAACGUUAUAAAAACACAAAUUGUCAAAAGGUGUAUUAAAGUAUGAAAAAAGAAUAAAUCUUCAAAAUUGAAGUAAUAAUGCAUCUUCAAAAUUGAAGUAAUAAUGCAGUAAGUCAACUUAGGUUAAUACUUUCAUUUUGUGGGUCCCAAAUUAUACUUCUCUAUAAAGUAAGAGGUCAAAUUGACCAUGAAACAAGACACAAAACAAGCUUAAGCUAAUGAAAGAUUUUAUUUUAUUUUUCUUGAAAACGUACAUCAAGAUUUUAGAUCCACCACAUUUCUAUCAACAUAUUCAGUUAUUCACACAAAAAUAUCAUACGAACACAAAAUCUUCAAAGGUGUACACUAAAGUAUGAAAAAAAAAUGGAAUAUUGAAAUAAAUAUCAAAUCUUCUUACAAUUUAUCUUUGUCCUAUGGUUUUUGUUUCAUGGGUCCCAUAUUAUAUUAUAGGUCUCAUUUAAGUAAAAACUAGUAUGGACACAUGAAAUGAGGCAUAAGUGUAAAAGUAAACUAACAAAAGCUUAGAUUUUUCUUUAUAAUGCCUAUAUAGAUCUUAUAUCCACCAUUCUUUUAUCAACAAAUUUUAAACAAAAAUAUCUAAAUAACACAAAAUCCUCACAUGGGUCAUUGCUCAAAAUCUUCAACAUUAUACUAAUGUUGAAUAAAUUGGAAUCUUGAAGUAAAUAUGAAGUUUUCUUACACAAUCAUAGCUUUACCCAUUGGUGGGCCCCAAAUCAUAGCUUUCGUUAUGGUAAAAAGUUAGUAUGGACCCAUGAAAUGACACAUAAACCAUAAUGAAAGCUUGGAUCUUUCUUUAAAAUGCACAUCAAGACCUUAGAUCCACCACAUUUUCAUCAACAAUUUCACACAAAAUAUAUCAUAAAAGCACAAAGUUAUUACAGUACAUUGCAAAACUUUAAUAUUGUCCUAAAAAUGGAAUCUUAAAGUCAAUAUCAAAUUUCCUACACAAUAGAUUUACUCAUAGGUGGGUCCCAAAUUAAAGCUUUCUUUUAGGCAAGAAGAUAGUAUAGAUCUAUGAAACGAAAAUGUCAAAUAGAAUGAAAACUAAAUAUUUAUUUAAAAUGCACAUCAAUAUCUUAGAUCCACCACAUUUUUAUCAAGAUCUCACCCAACUCUUUAACAUUAUACUAAAUUUUAUACAUAAAAAAACUAAGUUUUAUUAUUUUGAGUCCUAAAGAUAAAUACGACCCAUGAAAGGAGGCACAAUUUUCUAUAUGCAAAUGAAAGCUUUUAGAUUUGUUUUAAAAAUUCACAUCAAGAUCUUUGGAUCCACCUCAUUUUUCAAGAAAUUCACAUAAAAAUAUCACAAAAUCAUCAAAUGGGCAAUCGAAAUCAUCAAGAUUCUACCAACAUUUGAAAAAAAAUGAAAUCUUGAAAUAUUAAUACCAAUUUUUCUUAGAAUAUUACCAUUGCUUUAGUCUUGGAGUAGUAAGAUCCGACGAAAUUUGGAGUAUCCUCUUCCUUAAACCCGACACCCGACCCGAGUUGAUGCUCCGAAUCAUACUCAAAUAUACAUCCAGUAGCAUAGUUGAUCAAAAUCAACCCCUUUUCACGGCAAACGUCGGCGAGAGUUAGGGUUCCGACGACGUUAGUACGUAUGGUCUCCACCUUGUGUGACUCACACCAGUCAACGUUUGGGCGGCCGGUAACUCCGGCAGCGUUGAAUACAUGGGUAGGAUUGACGGCGGUGAUGUCAGCGAUAAGGGUGUCGCGAGACUCAAGAC
rnacentral:lncRNA from 1 species